rnacentral:siRNA from 1 species
AACAAUACCCUUUUAUGUUGUCCA